GCCGGUCCUCGGUAGUGGCCGCCGGGUCAAGACCCGUCGGCUUCGAUCGAUGACCGGC
rfam:Saccharomonospora sp. LRS4.154 Saccharomonospora_sp154_contig2, whole genome shotgun sequence.